AUUGAACGCUGGCGGCAGGCCUAACACAUGCCAGUCGAACGGUAACAGGAAGACGCUUGCUUCUUUGCUGACGAGUGGCGGACGGGUGAGUAAUGUCUGGGAAACUGCCUGAUAGAGGGGGAUAACUACUGGAAACGGUAGCUAAUACCGCAUAACGUCGCAAGACCAAAGAGGGGGACCUUCGGGCCUCUUGCCAUCGGAUGUGCCCAGAUGGGAUUAGCUAGUAGGUGGGGUAACGGCUCACCUAGGCGACGAUCCCUAGCUGGUCUGAGAGGAUGACCAGCCACACUGGAACUGAGACACGGUCCAGACUCCUACGGGAGGCAGCAGUGGGGAAUAUUGCACAAUGGGCGCAAGCCUGAUGCAGCCAUGCCGCGUGUAUGAAGAAGGCCUUCGGGUUGUAAAGUACUUUCAGCGGGGAGGAAGGGAGUAAAGUUAAUACCUUUGCUCAUUGACGUUACCCGCAGAAGAAGCACCGGCUAACUCCGUG
rnacentral:rRNA from 1 species